rnacentral:rRNA from 1 species
GGAGGGUGCAAGCGUUGUUCGGAAUUAUUGGGCGUAAAGAGCGCGUAGGCGGUCCGGUAAGUCAGAUGUGAAAGCCCUGGGCUCAACCCAGGAAGUGCAUUUGAAACUACCAGACUUGAGUACGGGAGAGGAGGGGGGAAUUCCCGGUGUAGAGGUGAAAUUCGUAGAUAUCGGGAGGAAUACCAGUGGCGAAGGCGCCCCUCUGGACCGAUACUGACGCUGAGACGCGAAAGCGUGGGGAGCAAACAGGAUUAGAUACCCUGGGUAGUCCACGCCGUAAACGAUGAGCACUAGGUGUAGCGGGUAUUGACCCCCCUGCUGUGCCGUAGCUAACGCAUUAAGUGCUCCGCCUGGGGGACUACGGUCGCAAGACUA